UGUGGAAAGGAAAUGUUGUUCAGUGACCUCCGAGUGACUGCUGCAAUGGCUCUGAGAACACUGAAGCAGAUAAACAGAGAGAAUGAAUGAUGCAGACGGCUCAUAGAAAAGCUGGAAUGAAUCUCACUGACAUCAGUUUACCAGUCAAGAAUAGUCCAAUUCAACUUGGACAAGCAGCGAUGUAAUGACUGCUGUGGAGUCUGAAGAAAUAACCCAGAUGAUGGCAUCAUGUCAUCUUUGGUUUGAAGGUGAAAAACAACAUCAUUUCAACCUGUAUGAGUGUAAGAGAUGUGGACGUUUACCCGUGCUGCAUUCAUGUCAUGUUGGAGUCAUCAUCAUUCAGAAGAGGGACCAUGUGUGUGCACAUCCAAAGGCACUCAGGUGGAAGAUAAACCAUACUUAACUGCAGACUACAAAGAGGACACUGUUCGCCUCCUAAUAAAGAGUUUAUUUCUCUUUGCAAGGCAACGUUUGUGGGGAGGCCUCCUUGAGAAGUCAUAUGACCAGAAAGAUGAUGAUUCUAACGGACACAUGAAACUCCGAGGCGUUUCAAGAUUAGAUCCUGGUAUUCUGUACAGUGGGGGGGAGGAUAUUUAAAAUAUCACAUCUUUGGUUAUUUAGUGCUUUUAUGUUUGAUUUUCACACACAAGUGCAAGAAAACAUAAACAAGACUCAUAUUGUAUUUCUGAGUUUGCUUCAGCACCAAGCUUUUUAUUUUAUUCCACUAACAUUCAGGGGCGACAUUUGUAAAAGGCGACUUCAUAACGAAUUAAUUUUCAU